rnacentral:rRNA from 1 species
UACGUAGGGACCAAGCGUUGUUCGGAUUUACUGGGCGUAAAGGGCGCGUAGGCGGCAAUUCAAGUCAUCUGUGAAAUCUCCGGGCUUAACUCGGAACGGUCAGAUGAUACUGCUUUGCUCGAGUGCGGAAGGGGCAAUCGGAAUUCUUGGUGUAGCGGUGAAAUGCGUAGAUAUCAAGAGGAACACCUGAGGUGAAGACGGGUUGCUGGGCCGACACUGACGCUGACAGCGCGAAAGCCAGGGGAGCGAACGGG